rnacentral:rRNA from 1 species
UCUAGUGACGAUGGCAAGGAGGGCACACCUGUUCCCAUACCGAACACAGAAGUUAAGCUCCUUAGCGC